ACGGGAGGCAGCAGUGGGGAAUAUUGCACAAUGGGCGAAAGCCUGAUGCAGCGACGCCGCGUGAGUGAUGAAGUAUUUCGGUAUGUAAAGCUCUAUCAGCAGGGAAGAUAAUGACGGUACCUGACUAAGAAGCACCGGCUAAAUACGUGCCAGCAGCCGCGGUAAUACGUAUGGUGCAAGCGUUAUCCGGAUUUACUGGGUGUAAAGGGAGCGCAGGCGGUACGGCAAGUCUGAUGUGAAAGCCCGGGGCUCAACCCCGGUACUGCAUUGGAAACUGUCGAACUAGAGUGCCGGAGGGGUAAGUGGAAUUCCUAGUGUAGCGGUGAAAUGCGUAGAUAUUAGGAGGAACACCAGUGGCGAAGGCGACUUACUGGACGAUAACUGACGCUGAGGCUCGAAAGCGUGGGGAGCAAACAGGAUUAGAUACCCUGGUA
rnacentral:rRNA from 1 species